rnacentral:lncRNA from 1 species
UCGAAAGCUGAAACAAACAAUGUCCAAAAAUAAACAAUUGCAAUUAAAAUUACAUUGUCAUUGUGACAUUGUAACUAAAUUUUAUUUCUUGAUCCAAAAUUUGUCAUUUUUCAAUCUUCAUUCAUCAGCAGAGGUAGAGAUUACACAAGAUGGAUCCUGAGAAGUGAAAGAAAUAUUAUACUCAACAUCAUCAUAAUAACUACGAUUAAAAUUUACAUUAUCUAAUAAAUAAAAUUACCUACUCAUCAACAUCAUCAUCAUUCAUUUUGGAGCAACAUCCAAAAUAUGCAAAUGGCACAUGAUUCGCUAUUAAUAACUACAAUUAAAAUUUAAAUUAUCUAAUAAAUAAAAUUCUCUCCUCAUCAACAUCCUCAUCAUUCAUUUUGGAGCAACAUCCAAAAUAUGCAGAUGGCACAUAAUUCGUUAUUAAUAAAGUAAAAUAAUUAGUAAUAAGAAAAUGAACAUACCGGACCCAAUGUUCACUCUUCAUGACGCACAAAUGAACAUAAUGCAAAUGUUGGCCAUAUCAUCAAGGACGAUUAAAAUUCUAAACUCCAAAAAUCUAAAUUCUAUUUCAAGUUUUUAAGAGAAAUAAUAUAUAUUAAAAAUUGGUGGCAAUACAAUAAAGUUAAAAUAUUAACACAAGAUAUUCCAGCCAUAAAACGAAACUACACAACCCAAAAAUAACUCUUUUUCUUUUUUUCAAAGAAUCUCUCUUUACAAGCAACAGAAUCACGCAAUAAGAAUUCAUAUAAAAAAUCUUUAUACAUAAACACAUAAGGAGAAAAUAUAUACGUUAAUCUUUAUGGUUCUUGAUAUACAUAAGGAAAAAAGGAAAAACACAGGUAAAUAUACGGAGAAAAUACCAGCGAGAGAGAGAAAAAAGGUGCUCCCAACAAAAAAAACCUCCAGAAUUUGGUUUGAGAGCAAGGUUGGGAUAGAGAUGGAAAUGGAAUGAAGAGGGAUUUUUAGGGUUAUGUGUGUG